UACAGAGGUCUCAAGCGUUGUUCGGAUUCAUUGGGCGUAAAGGGUGUGUAGGUGGCGCCGUAAGUCGGGUGUGAAAUUUCGGGAGCUUAACUCCGAAACUGCAUUCGAUACUGCGGUGCUUGAGGACUGGAGAGGAGACUGGAAUUUACGGUGUAGCAGUGAAAUGCGUAGAUAUCGUAAGGAAGACCAGUGGCGAAGGCGGGUCUCUGGACAGUUCCUGACACUGAGACACGAAGGCCAGGGGAGCAAACGGG
rnacentral:rRNA from 1 species